rnacentral:rRNA from 1 species
UGGGGGAUAUUGCACAAUGGGCGAAAGCCUGAUGCAGCGACGCCGCGUGGGGGAUGAAGGCCUUCGGGUUGUGAACCUCUUUCGCUCGUGUGCAAGCCGCUAUUUGGGUAGUGGUGAGUGUAGCGGGUAAAGAAGCGCCGGCUAACUACGUGCCAGCAGCCGCGGUAAUACGUAGGGCGCGAGCGUUGUCCGGAUUUAUUGGGCGUAAAGGGCUUGUAGGCGGUUUGUCGCGCCUGUCGUGUAAUCCUCUGGCUUAACUGGGGGUGUGCGGUGGGUACGGGCAAGCUUGAGUGCGGUAGGGGAGAUUGGAAUUCCUGGUGUAGCGGUGGAAUGCGCAGAUAUCAGGAGGAACACCGGUGGCGAAGGCGGGUCUCUGGGCCGUUACUGACGCUGAGGAGCGAAAGCGUGGGGAGCGAACAGG